rnacentral:lncRNA from 1 species
UUGGGACCAAUGGAGGGGUCACGGUGGUGGGCCUUGUCUCCAGUCUACUUGGCAGUACCUUUGUGGGCAUCACCUACUUCCUCACACAGUUGGUCUUUGUUAAUGAUUUAGGCAUUUCUGCUCCCCAGUGGCCAAUUAUUGCAUUUGGGGGUUGGCUGGAUUACUAGGAUCAGUUGUGGACUCAUAUUUAGGAGANAGCUACAAUGCAAUUUACUGGUUUAGACGAAAGCACAGGCAUGGUGGUCAACAGCCCAGCGAAUGAGGUGAAGUACAUAGCGGGGAAACCCAUUCUUGAUAACAACUGAAGAAAACAGGUUCACUGCAUUGUUAUUGCCCUCUUACUCCCAACUGCUGCUUGGGGUUUCUGGCCCAUGGAGUGAACUUUUUUUUUCCUUUACAAAGGUUGAAAACUGUGGCAAAGUCAGCUAAAUUUGCAAUUCCAAGUUUCAUCCUAAGAAGAAUAAUUGUAAUGGCAAAGAGAAAAUACCAGCGCUUCCCAUAUUCCAUUGUGAUGAAAUUCCACAUUUUUCAUCUCAUUAACUCCCCUGUAACAGCUGACCUCUUUGUAGUGAAAGAGAUGUGUGNAUAGACCUUAUUCAUAUUUUUCUUCUGAAUAGAGCUUCUUAAGCAAUGAAACUAUAAUGUCCCUAUAUAUUGCUGAGCUGAAAGUUCCUACGUGGUAAAUACAAAUUUUGUUUUGUUUAAACCAGUGUAGGGACUAAAAAUAUAAUGCCACUAGU